CGCCGUUAAAAAUCUACCGGGCGCGAUUGAAAUCCAACGGGCGUAAAUAAAAAAUUAAUUUGUCUUUUUUUUAAAUUUUUUUUCUAGUGAAUAACGCAUAGAAUGUUUUCUGAACGUUUCGAAUGAUUGUGAAAAUUAUAUUCGGGGGGAUGUGUGCAUAUACAUAUAGGUAUCUUCCCCGAUUAUAAACAGCGGUUUCAUAAUAGGUGCAUUUUGGCGUGUUA